AUUCACCUUGGAGCUAGAACAGGGACGUGUACAUGAUUAUACAGGGGCAGGGGCUCAAGUUUUUUCCAGUCGUUUAUACAAUAUGGAAAUUAAUGUGAAAUUAAAAAACAAAGUAUUAAUAGAAAGGUAAUGACUGUCCUGUGUAGGUGACAGUGAUAUCCAAUAGGCUAGGCACUCACGAGGCUGGCUGUGGCAAGUGUAAGUGAAAGCAACACGCACUGGCAGGAAGAACAGCAAACGCCGAUGAAGGAAAAGGGUCUUUGUAGUGAUGGGCGUUACCAGAGAGGGCGAUGGCCAGAGGACGCGAAUGGGACGGGGAGGCAGCGCGGGGGGGGGGGGGCGCGACACGGCUCGGGCCCGCCAGUGCCCCAACGGGGCCCUAGUUAUUAUUUUUCUGCCCCUUUGAACUGGAAAAUGGCCCACUUCCCACUGGUGAAAAGUCAUGAAAUUUGGCAGGACGACCGGGCCUGGUGAAAAAUUCGAUAUUCUGAAGUCGCCCAAAAAAUCAAAUGCAAAAUGGCUCCAUAGCGCCCCCUAAGGUGAAAAAUUCACAUGAUUGAGUGUCACGCCUGUACGCUUUGUCAAAAUGACACAAAAUUUGACACACACGUGUAUCUCAAUAAGAUCUACAAAAAAGUCAGUGCGGGCGUAUCUGUCAAAUGUACGGUUAAAGGGCUAUUUCGCAUUUUUUGCCGAUCCGCACACAUUGGAAUUUCGCUAACUCCUCCGAAGGCUUUCGUUCCACCGGCACCAAAUUUGCUCAGGCCAAUCUACACCCCAUGGCCAUUAAAAGUUGUACAAAUCAUGACGCUGCAUCCCACGGUUUACGUUCUAGGGGGCGCCAAAGAUAACCCAGAAAUCCACAUUCUUAAAAGUCGUAUAACUUUUUAUUUUUGUCCUCACUGGCCUCCAAGUUUUCUAGGAUGAUGCAAUGUCCAGCCAUCAACACAUUUGUGAAGGAAUUUUUACUCCCCAAAAGAGCGCCCCCCCAUGGCAGGAGAAAAAAGUCAAUUUUUUCUUGUCUCCUAAGGCGAAAAUUCACACUAUUGACUGUCACGCCUUUACGCUUUGUCAUAUUGACACAAAAAUUGACACACACAUGUAUCUCAGUAAGAUCUACAAAAAAGUCAGUGCGGGCGUAUCUGUCAAAUGUACGGUGAAAGGGCUAUUUCGCAUUUUUUGCCGAUCCGCACACAUUGGAAUUUCGCUAACUCCUCCGAAGGCUUUCGUUCCAAAGGCACCACAUUUGCUGAGGCCAAUCUACACCCCAUGGCCAUUAAAAGUUGUACAAAUCAUGACGCUGCACCCCACGGUUUACGUUCUAGGGGGCGCCAAAGAUAACCCAAAAAUCCACAGUCUUAAAAGUCUUAUAACUUUUUAUUUUUGUCCUCACUGGCCUCCAAGUUCUCUAGGAUGAUGCAAUGUCCAGCCAUCAACACAUUUGUGAAGGAAUUUUUACUCGCCAAAAGAGCGCCCCCCCAUGGCAGGAGAAAAAAGUCCAUUUUUUCUUGUCUCCUAAGGCGAAAAUACACAUUGUUGACUGUCACGCCUUUACGCUUUGUCAAAAUGACACAAAAUUUGACACACACAUGUAUCUCAAUAAGAUCUACAAAAAAGUCAGUGCGGGCGUAUCUGUCAAAUGUACGGUUAAAGGGUUAUUUCGCAUUUUUUGCCGAUCCGCACACAUUGGAAUUUCGCUAACUCCUCCUAAAUCUUUUGUCCCAUCGGCUUCAAAUUUGCUCAGGUCAAUCUACACCCCAUGGCCAUUAAAAGUUGUACAAAUCAUGACGCUGCACCCCACAGUUUACGUUCUAGGGGGCGCCAAAGAGGACCCAAAUAUCCACAUUUUUAAAAGUCGUAUAACUUUUUAUUUUUGUCCUCACUGGCCUCCAAGUUUUCUAGGAUUAUGCAAUGUCCAGCCAUCAACACAUUUGUGAAGGAAUUUUUUCUCCCCAAAAGAGCGCCCCCCCAUGGCAGGAGAAAAAGUCAAGUUUUUCCUGCCCAUCGCUCAAUGGCUCAAACGCAUCGCUCUCUCUGCAAAACCGAAAGGAGGAGCAACUUGCCAUUUGGAUAUAUACCAGCUGUGUUUGUGCCCUCACUCAUGGUCCAGACUUUUUUCAAAUAGGACAUGUAGUUUGUCUGCAGCGAGCGUUUUGGUAGAAACUGCGCCUCCCAUUCAUUAUAAUGGGAAAUGACCACAGACAAGUGCGCACACCAUCUUUGGACCUUGAGUGUGACGCAAUCGGGAGGGGGAGGCGGUCGCGCUGGGGGCGGCGCGACGCGGCUCGGGCCCGACAGUGCCCCACCGGGGCCCUAGUUCGUUAUUAUUUUUCCUCCGCUUUAAACUGGAAAAUGGCCCACUUCCCACUGGCGAAAACUCAGGAAAUUUGGCAGGACGACCGGGCCUGGUGAAAAAUUCGAUAUUCUGAAGUCGCCCAAACAAUAAAAUGCAAAAUGGCUCCAUAGCGCCCCCUAAGGUGAAAAUUCACAUGACGGCUGUACGCUUUGUCAUAUUGACACAAAAAUUGACACACACAUGUAUCUCAAUAAGAUCUACAAAAAAGUCAGUGCGGGCGUAUCUGUCAAAUGUACGGUUAAUGGGUUAUUUUGCAUUUUUUGCAGAUCUGCACACAUUGGAAUUUCGCUAACUCCUCUGAAGGCUUUCGUUCGACCGGCACCACAUUUGCGCAGGCCAAUCUACCCCCCAUGGCCAUUAAAAGUUGUACAAAUCAUGACGCUGCACCCCACGGUUUACGUUCUAGGGGGCGCCAAAGAUAACCCAAAAUCCACAUUCUUAAAAGUCUUAUAACUUUUUAUUUUUGUCCUCACUGCCCUCCAAGUUUUCUAGGAUGAUGCAAUGUCCAGCCAUCAACACAUUUGUGAAGGAAUUUUUACUCCCCAAAAGAGCGCCCCCCCAUGGCAGGAGAAAAAAGUCAAUUUUUUCUUGUCCCCUUACAUGAAAAUACACAUUGUUGAGUGUCACGCCUGAACGCUUUGUCAUAUUGACACAAAAAUUGACAAUCAUGUGUAUCUCAAUUAGAUCUACGAAAAAGUCAAAAAGCGCGUAUCUGUAUAAUGUACGGUUAAAGGGCUAUUUCGCAUUUUUUGCGGAUUCGCACACAUUGGAAUGUGGCUAUCUCCUCCUAAGGCUUUCGUCCCAUCGGCUUCAAAUUUGCUCAGGUCAAUCUACACCCCAUGGCCAUUUAAAGUUGUAAAAAUCAUGACGCUGCACCCCACGGUUUACGUUCUAGGGGGCGCCAAAGAUGACCCAAAAAUCCACAUUCUUAAAAGUCAUUUUGGCCACUGCAGGAGUACAGAGUACUGCAGUUCUAGGGGGCGCCAAAGAUGACCCAAAAAUCCACAUUCUUAAAAGUCUUUUUGGCCACUGCAGGAGUACAGAGUACUGCAGGAUACACACACAUACACACACACACACACACACACACACACACACACACACACACACACACACUCAGAGUCUGGUUUUUAGCACCUGCAAAAACAUGCUGUUUACAUAUUUGACAAGAAUGCAGAGGCUUCCUUUUGCCCCUGAAAAAAAUCAGAUUUCAAACACAACUUGACUGUUCAUUUCUCCAAAAGACAACCAUGAAGCUCCAUCCAAACCUGAAGCAGAUAGUUGGUGCAUGUGUACAGUAACCUGAGGGGAGUGAGGUGACUAUUUCUGAGGAUAACAUGAGCAGUGAAGAUUCACCUUGGAGCUAGAACAGGGACGUGCACAUGAUUAUACAGGGGCAGGGGCUCAAGUUUUUUCCAGUCAUUUAUACAAUAUGGAAAUUAAUGUGAAAUUAAACCACAAAUAUGUGUGAUGAACUGUUUUUAAAACUUAAACUUCAAAUAAAAAUUGUAAACUUCAAAACAUAUGCAAAUUUUUAACAAAGAACAUAGUAAUUUACCUCUAUUUACAUCAAAAUGCAGGCAAUGGCCCAGGCGUUCUUUGUAAAAUUAUUUACAAAACACUGUAUAGUCUCACAAAUGUCACUUUUUAUUUAUGCCACUACAAAAAAACAUGAUGUAAAUGAUGCAUGAUGUAAAACAUGAUGUAAAAAACUUGUGUAGAUCCUCCUCUAUGUCAGUCCAUGUGUAAUUUUUCCAUAAUUCUUUGUUUUUUGCAGCAUUUUUGUUAGUGUAACUGCAGAUUGUGCUGACAAUCUAUGGCAAAAAAAACCAAAAACUGAAAAUGCCUCAACAUGAACCCCUGGUGGUCUCUGAGGGUGAAACCUGCUAACUGCUGCAGCUCUGUCAGCUUCAGUCUCCCAUGCAGAGCUCUGAGCGCAUGUGUGGCUCUGCACCCUUAGCAGCGUUGCUAACUCCUCAGUAAGGAAAGCCUGCUUCAUGUCAGAGUCUCUAAACUCCAGAAGAAGUCGAUAAAAGUCCCUUUCUUUCUAAAAAAAGUCGUUAGGGGGUCUGAAAAGUCAUUGAAUCUAACAACAAAGUCGCUAGGUUUGCAACUACGUGUCCCAGACUGCAUCCC